rnacentral:rRNA from 1 species
GCCCCAGUAACGGCGAGUGAAGCGGCAACAGCUCAAAUUUGAAAUCUGGCCCCCAGGGCCCGAGUUGUAAUUUGCAGAGGAUGCUUUUGGUGAGGUGCCUUCCGAGUUCCCUGGAACGGGACGCCAUAGAGGGUGAGAGCCCCGUCUGGUUGGAUACCGAGCCUCUGUAAAGCUCCUUCGACGAGUCGAGUAGUUUGGGAAUGCUGCUCUAAAUGGGAGGUAUAUGUCUUCUAAAGCUAAAUAUUGGCCAGAGACCGAUAGCGCACAAGUAGAGUGAUCGAAAGAUGAAAAGCACUUUGAAAAGAGGGUUAAAUAGUACGUGAAAUUGUUGAAAGGGAAGCACUUAUGACCAGACUUGGCCCCGGUGAAUCAUCCAGCGGUUCCCGUUGGUGCACUUUGCCGGGGUUCAGGCCAGCAUCAGUUCGCUCCGGGGGAUAAAGGCUUUGGGAAUGUGGCUCCCUCGGGAGUGUUAUAGCCCAUUGCGCAAUACCCUGUGGCGGGCUGAGGUUCGCGCUUUAUGCAAGGAUGCUGGCAUAAUGGUCAUCAGUGACCCGUCUUGAAACACGGACCAAGGAGUCGUCUUCGUAUGCGAGUGUUCGGGUGUUAAACCCCUACGCGUAAUGAAAGUGAACGCAGGUGAGAGCCCUCCAGGGCGCAUCAUCGACCGAUCCUGAUGUUCUCGGAUGGAUUUGAGUAAGAGCAUACGGGGCCGGACCCGAAAGAAGGUGAACUAUGCCUGUAUAGGGUGAAGCCAGAGGAAACUCUGGUGGAGGCUCGCAGCGGUUCUGACGUGCAAAUCGAUCGUCAAAUAUGGGCAUGGGGGCGAAAGACUAAUCGAACCUUCUAGUAGCU